GUCCUCGUAGCUCAGCUGGAUAGAGCGCAACCUUGCGGAGGUUGAGGUCGGAGGUUCGAAUCCUCUCGAGGACGCCA
rnacentral:tRNA from 3 species